rnacentral:rRNA from 1 species
GACGAACGCUGGCGGCGUGCUUAACACAUGCAAGUCGAACGAAGAGCGAUGGAAGCUUGCUUCUAUCAAUCUUAGUGGCGAACGGGUGAGUAACGCGUAAUCAACCUGCCCUUCAGAGGGGGACAACAGUUGGAAACGACUGCUAAUACCGCAUACGAUCUAAUCUCGGCAUCGAGGAUAGAUGAAAGGUGGCCUCUACAUGUAAGCUAUCACUGAAGGAGGGGAUUGCGUCUGAUUAGCUAGUUGGAGGGGUAACGGCCCACCAAGGCGAUGAUCAGUAGCCGGUCUGAGAGGAUGAACGGCCACAUUGGGACUGAGACACAGCCCAGACUCCUACGGGAGGCAGCAGUGGGGAAUCUUCCGCAAUGGACGAAAGUCUGACGGAGCAACGCCGCGUGAGUGAUGACGGCCUUCGGGUUGUAAAGCUCUGUUAAUUGGGACGAAAGGCCUUCUUGCGAAUAGUUAGGAGGA